UGAGAACCGAGUCAGUGAUCCAGUCGCAUUGUAAGAUUAUGAGAGGAUAACAACUGAGCUAUUAGUCUCUUUCGCACAUAAAGCUAUGUAGGCUUAGUUUUAUUUAACUAUAAAACAUAGCUGCACUAAAAUGCAAACUUUAAGUUGCAUGCAUAUAAAGUCAUAUUUGUCAAUCGCCUGACGUGGCUUUAUUUGAAGUUGCAUGCUCGCCGGACUCUGUGAUUGUGUUUUUGGGCGUCGGCAGCACCCGUAUGUCAGGCACAUCCUACACUGAUUUAAAUGUAGUCAAACUGUUACUCCUGUGCUAUCUUCAUCUGGCCCUUAUUUGUCCUGUAAGCUGAAGGCUCACUCCUCCUCGCCCACCUGACAGGACUCGAGUUUCACUGCAUGGCAUCCCAGUCAUAGUUUUGAAUGAAUGUUUGCCAGUUGCCACCUUUCACUUGGAAAAUGAGCUUCAGCAUGACUGCUCCUGCCAGCGAUGAUGGUGACAUGUCUCGCCGUCUGAUUGCAUGUGACGAUAUAAUAUGUAAAUAUGGUAGAUGUGUUCUGGUGAACGGGGAGCCCACCUGUGAGUGUAAGCUGGGCUACAUUGGAGACACCUGUAACGAAACAAUCAAUGACGCUCUGUCUGUGCCUCUCACCCUCGGCGUCCUGGCUUUCCUCAUUGGCUUUAUCAUCCUGCUCUUUGGGCUGGCAUUUUUCCGGCAAAGACAAAAGGCAAAGAAGAGAAAAAAGGCAGCUGAGGAAGCCAUGUUAAGAAAUGGAGCACAUCUUUAAUGUUUUAAUGCAGCGUGCCAUAAAAUAGUACCAUCAACACUUGAACUACCACUUCCACUCCAAUUAAAAAAACUUUCCACCAUGAAACUUAACUCACACUUAAAUGUGCAUGAAUAUAUAUAUAUAUUCAUCUUAUGUUAUUGGUGUGUAUAUGUAGGUAUUAAAGUAGCUCUAACUGAAUUCAACAUGUAACUGAAAACCAUUGUGAAAUACAUGAAGUCUGCAGCACAUUUGAAUGAUUCCAGAGCAUGAUUUGUGUUGGCGUACCUGCAGGGGAGAUGGAUGUAAAUCAUGUCCAACAUACAAUGACUAGUUGCUGAAACAUGGCAGGUACUUGAAUGCGGUUUUUCUGGUGUUAUAUUUAGCUCAGUCAGUCCUGACUGGUGAGUCUGAAGAACUGAAAGCUGACUAAUUUCAUGGACUGAUAAGCCACAGACGAGUAUCUCUUUCAAGCGUUUAUGGCAAACACUCUUAUCAUUUUUAUGGAUCUUGGUUGCAUAUAGAUUUUAUUUUUGGAGUUUCACAACAACUCUGCAUUCAACACUUUUGUAGUAGAGGCCUAAGAGCCUCAUUCAGCUGUUAUCGUGACUGUCUGUACAGUAUUUUUGAAUAAAGAGAUUUGUUUUUGUCUGCUUGUAUUUCUCAGUCGUAUCAUGAAAGACUGAUACAGUGCACUUCAACAAUAUUUGCUCUAUUUUUAGCAAUAUGUUUCCAAAUGAAAUGGCCUUUACAUCUAACAUUUCCCAGUUAACGUAUCUUCAUCUUUAUUUAAAUUAAUUAAUUUCACAUUUAUUUUGCCAUAUACUUUGUUUUAAUGCUGCUA